AUUGAACGCUGGCGGCAUGCCUUACACAUGCAAGUCGAACGGCAGCACGGGUGCUUGCACCUGGUGGCGAGUGGCGAACGGGUGAGUAAUACAUCGGGACAUGUCCUGUAGUGGGGGAUAGCCCGGCGAAAGCCGGAUUAAUACCGCAUACGAUCUACGGAUGAAAGCGGGGGACCUUCGGGCCUCGCGCUAUAGGGUUGGCCGAUGGCUGAUUAGCUAGUUGGUGGGGUAAAGGCCUACCAAGGCGACGAUCAGUAGCUGGUCUGAGAGGACGACCAGCCACACUGGGACUGAGACACGGCCCAGACUCCUACGGGAGGCAGCRGUGGGGAAUUUUGGACAAUGGGCGAAAGCCUGAUCCAGCAAUGCCGCGUGUGUGAAGAAGGCCUUCGGGUUGUAAAGCACUUUUGUCCGGAAAGAAAUCCUUGGCUCUAAUACAGUCGGGGGAUGACGGUACCGGAAGAAUAAGCACCGGCUAACUACGUGCCAGCAGCCGCGGUAAUACGUAGGGUGCGAGCGUUAAU
rnacentral:rRNA from 1 species